GACGAACGCUGGCGGCGUGCCUAACACAUGCAAGUCGAGCGGGGAUUUAAGUGGAAGUUCUUCGGAAUGGAGAUUUAAAUUCUAGCGGCGGACGGGUGAGUAACGCGUGAACAAUCUGUCCCGGACAGGGGGAUAACACUUGGAAACAGGUGCUAAUACCGCAUAAGACCACGGCCUCGCAUGGGGCUGAGGUAAAAGGAGCAAUCCGGUUCGGGGUGAGUUCGCGUCCGAUUAGCUAGUUGGUGAGGUAACGGCCCACCAAGGCGACGAUCGGUAGCCGGCCUGAGAGGGUGAACGGCCACAUUGGAACUGAGAGACGGUCCAAGCUCCUACGGGAGGCAGCAGUGGGGAAUAUUGGGCAAUGGGCGAAAGCCUGACCCAGCAACGCCGCGUGAGGGAAGAAGGUUUUCGGAUUGUAAACCUCUGUCCUAUGGGACGAAGGAAGUGACGGUACCAUAGGAGGAAGCCCCGGCUAACUACGUG
rnacentral:rRNA from 1 species